rnacentral:pre_miRNA from 1 species
GAUUUCAAUUGAAAAAGUCAUCAAUAACAAGGUUGUAUAACUCAUCAAGAUCUAUAACUUCUAUUUUGGUCAUUUCUUCAUCCAACAAAGUGAUUUGUAAGAUUGUUCACAAAAUGCACAUCUCUUAUAUAAAAACUUAUAUAAGAGAUGUGCAUUUUGUGAACAAUCUUACAAAUCACUUUGUCACUUUGUUGGAUGAAGAAAUGACCAAAAUAGAAGUUAUAGAUCUUGAUGAGUUAUACAACCUUGUUAUUGAUGACUUUUUCAGUUGAAAUC